rnacentral:tRNA from 1 species
AGGGCAAUAGCUCCAUGGUGGAGCUGCGUGCUUGGCAUGCACGAGGUCCUGGGUUCAAUUCCCAGUACCUCCA